UGGGGAAUAUUGCACAAUGGGCGAAAGCCUGAUGCAGCAACGCCGCGUGAGCGAAGAAGGUCUUCGGAUCGUAAAGCUCUGUCCUUGGGGAAGAUAAUGACGGUACCCUUGGAGGAAGCCCCGGCUAACUACGUGCCAGCAGCCGCGGUAAUACGUAGGGGGCAAGCGUUAUCCGGAAUUAUUGGGCGUAAAGAGUGCGUAGGUGGUUACCUAAGCAGGGGGUGAAAGGCAUUGGCUUAACCAAUGUUAGCCCCCUGAACUGGGCUACUUGAGUGCAGGAGAGGAAAGCGGAAUUCCUAGUGUAGCGGUGAAAUGCGUAGAUAUUAGGAGGAACACCAGUGGCGAAGGCGGCUUUCUGGACUGUUACUGACACUGAGGCACGAAAGUGUGGGGAGCAAACAGG
rnacentral:rRNA from 2 species